rnacentral:rRNA from 1 species
GACAGAGGGUGCAAACGUUGUUCGGAAUUACUGGGCGUAAAGCGUGUGUAGGCGGCUUUGCAAGUCGGAUGUGAAAGCCCCGGGCUCAACCCGGGAAGUGCACUCGAUACUGCAGGGCUAGAGUGUGGGAGAGGUUGGUGGAAUUCUCGGUGUAGAGGUGAAAUUCGUAGAUAUCGAGAGGAACAUCGGCGGCGAAGGCGGCCAACUGGACCACUACUGACGCUGAGACACGAAAGCGUGGGGAGCAAACAGG